GUAUUGCUUGCUUCAGCAGUACAUAUACUAAAAUUGAACAAUACAGAGAAGAUUAGCACAGCCCCUGUGCAAGGAUGACACGAAAAUUCAUGAAACAUUCCAUGUCAAA
ensembl:snRNA U6 U6 spliceosomal RNA